AUCCCUCCCGGGGCGCCUCAGGGCUGCGCUGGGCAGAGAGGCGGGCAGUGGACGCCGGGACGCACAGCGGGUGCUCCCUCCUCCGCCCCCAGGGGUCACUCCAGGUGAGGCUCAGGGCCAGUGUACCAGCUGGAUACAGGCCGGCAAGUCACCUGGCCUCGGAUUCCAGGUGGCUAGAUCCUCAGGAAGCCUCUGUGGGUGACAAGGACACACAGGGAUGGUUUUACCUCACUUCUUGCCGGAUAAGAGGAGGCCAUGGGAAAGCACCAAGCAAGAGGAGCCUCCUCAGUCACCCCAGGACCCAGUCAUCACCCACCCACCAAGAGGUCUGGCUGCGUCUCCCAGCAGCCCUACUGGGGGAGACAUUUCUCUCCUUUUUUAUUUUUCUAAAGAUUUUAUUGAUUUAUUCAUGAGAGACACAGAGAGAGGAUGGGGGAGGGGGCAGAGAGAGAAGCAGGCUCCAUGCAGCGAGCCCGACGUGGGACUCAAUUCUGGAUCUCCAGGAUCACAUCCUGGGCUGAAGGCGGCACUAAACCACUGAGCCACCCAGGCUGCCCAUCUCUCCUUUAUUAGAUGAGGUACCCAGGGUACACGGGCACCCCAUAUUUCAUGCACACGAUUACACCGUGGGGCUGGGCACCCUGAGUCUGGACAUCUGGGUGAAUGCACUUGAAGCUCAGCUUCUGGGUGCAGCAGCCUCCUGGGCAGGCAGAAGCAGCCCCUCCUCCCAUACCUGAGGAAUCUAACCUUUCCUGCUGAAGAUUCCUAACACCCUUGCCUGAAGCGACCCUCAUGCAGGCUCCCCCCAGCACCACCCUGGAAUGAAGGUCAGAUUUCAGCAUGCCCCAGGUGCUCAGAAGUCAAGGUUGACCCUGGAGAAAAUAGCUUAUCCUCCAAAUGAAAAACAAAUGUUGCUAAUUUCUAUCAAUAAAAAACGAACCCAGGGGCUCUGGGUGGAGAAGAGGUCUGGGGUGUUAGGCUCAAUGGGGUGGACUGUGAUCCUGUAGGGGGGGGGUGGCUAGAUUUAUGGGUAUGAGCAACAGAGGGAUAAGAGGAAGGGGUCCAAAGAGAGUGACUUAUGUGUAACCUGCACGGCUUUGAGAAAUAUAUUGGUAGGGCAGCAGCCUCAUCCAUGUGAGGCUACCUUCUGUGGGCUGGCAUCAGGGGGUGAUAUUCCCCUGAGGUGGGCUCCUGAUCUCAGGGGGCUGAUGGCACCUCUAGUGGCAGAGGCUGAGCUGGGACUCUUAAAUAUUAGAGGCCAAGUGGGCAAAUUACACAGAGAUGGAGGUGUUUCCACAAAGUACUGACCUGCAGGAGUUUUUGAUGGAAGCUAACCAGAUCGUGGUGUUCUUAGGAAUGAAGAGCUGGGCGCCACUACCUUUUCACUUGAACGAUAUAAUGAGAAAACCUGAGGUCUGCAGGACGGAAACCCGAAUGGAACCCCCAUAGUGUAGAAUCUCUAGGCUUGAGGCGUUAUUUAAGGCAGUAAUAAAGUUAAUGCAUAUAUUGGUUACUGAAUCAACACAUUUAUACUUUCAACUUGUUAACAACUGUAAUCAAAAAAGUUUCCUUUGUAAUACAUGCAUUUUACUUCAUGAAUUUAAAAGCAUCAUUCA